rnacentral:rRNA from 1 species
UACGGAGGGGGUUAGCGUUGUUCGGAAUUACUGGGCGUAAAGCGCACGUAGGCGGAUUGGAAAGUUGGGGGUGAAAUCCCAGGGCUCAACCCUGGAACUGCCUCCAAAACUAACAGUCUAGAGUUCGAGAGAGGUGAGUGGAAUUCCAAGUGUAGAGGUGAAAUUCGUAGAUAUUUGGAGGAACACCAGUGGCGAAGGCGGCUCACUGGCUCGAUACUGACGCUGAGGUGCGAAAGCGUGGGGAGCAAACAGGAUUAGAAACCCUAGUAGUCC